GCUGAAACUUGUUUAUUUGUAUCUGUGAACAUUACAAUGCAGUUUCCUCGCCCCCUGUGUCUGCCGGCCAUCUGACUACUGCCUGUUACUUUGACUACAAUUCUGGAUUGUCUGUACACAUCUGAUUGCUCCUUUGACUGUUGCCUGCCUGACCAUUCUCUGCAAAAUAAACCUCCAUUUGGAUCCUCCUUCCUCUUGUCAGGGUUCACGUCAAAACGACCCCCUGUUGUACCUUCACGGACCCCUGUUUGAAAACCCUAUAAAAUAUCUCAUCAAAGCACAUCAUGUGGUCGCAUUAAAGCAGAAUAUGCAGACCGGAGUCCUAAAAUCAUCUGAUCUGAGGUCUGUGGAUCAACAUCCGCAUCGGUGUGAACACGACGCACACACUGACCUCCGUCCUGCUGCUGAUAAAUGUUGUAGGUCUGGCCGGCGUCCCGGACUGCACUUCAGCAGGUAUCUGUGCAUCUGAUCUUAUCUGAUCUGGAGGAAAAGACUUUCUGUACAGACUCAUGAAGAUAAUGAGGCUGCGGUCUGCCUCAUACCAGCGCUCUGCGGCUCAGGGGGCGGAGCCUCAGGUGAGCUGACAGCCAAUCACAGCCACUCUGAAUGUGAUUGAUUUACAUUCGCAAUUCAGUCCAUUUUUAUGGUGUAUUAUCGAAGGCUUUAGAAUAUACAAGACGUGUCACUCUCUAUAUGUAUAGUUUUGAAUGGGGAGAAGUGUAGCCGGCAAUAUGGCGAAUAAAGCCUCUCCUUCUAGCACAACCAAUCAGUGAACGCUAUACACUGAUGAUUCUCUGGAGGAGAGGCUCAGAGCAGGCUCAAGGGGUGGAGCUGACAGUCAAUCACAGCCACUCUGAACAUGGUUAUGAUUGCGUUCGAAUUUGAUUCUAUUUUUAUUGGUUGUGUAUUAUUAAAGACUAUAGAAUAC